AACGAACGCUGGCGGCAGGCUUAACACAUGCAAGUCGAACGCAUCGCAAGAUGAGUGGCAGACGGGUGAGUAACGCGUGGGAAUCUACCCAUCCCUACGGAACAACUCCGGGAAACUGGUGCUAAUACCGUAUACGCCCUUAGGGGGAAAGAUUUAUCGGGGAUGGAUGAGCCCGCGUUGGAUUAGAUAGUUGGUGGGGUAAAGGCCUACCAAGGCGACGAUCCAUAGCUGUUCUGAGAGGAUGAUCAGCCACAUUGGGACUAAGACAAGGCCCAAGCUCGUACGGGAGGCAGCAGUGGGGAAUAUUGGACAAUGGGCGCAAGCCUGAUCCAGCCAUGCCGCGUGAGUGAUGAAGGUCUUAGGAUUGUAAAGCUCUUUCACCGGUGAAGAUAAUGACGGUAACCGGAGAAGAAGCCCCGGCUAACUUCGUGCCAGCCGCCGCCGUAAUAC
rnacentral:rRNA from 1 species